GAUGAACGCUAGCGGCAGGCCUAACACAUGCAAGUCGAGGGGCAGCACAGAAACAGCAAUGUUUUGGUGGCGACCGGCGGACGGGUGCGUAACGCGUAUGCAACCUACCUUUAACAGGGGGAUAACGGAGAGAAAUUUCCACUAAUACCCCAUAACAUCGAUCAAGGCAUCUUGAUUGGUUGAAAACUCCGGUGGUUAAAGAUGGGCAUGCGUUGUGUUAGGUAGUUGGUGAGGUAAUGGCUCACCAAGCCUACGAUACAUAGGGGGACUGAGAGGUUAGCCCCCCACACUGGUACUGAGACACGGACCAGACUCCUACGGGAGGCAGCAGUGAGGAAUAUUGGUCAAUGGGGGCAACCUUGAACCAGCCAUGCCGCGUGCAGGAAGACGGCUCUAUGAGUUGUAAACUGCUUUUAAACAGGGAUAAAGCACAGUAUGUAUACUGUGUUGAAGGUACUGUAAGAAUAAGGAUCGGCUAACUCCGUGCCAGCCGCCGCUGUAA
rnacentral:rRNA from 1 species